CGAAGGAUGCAAGCGUUAUCCGGAUUUAUUGGGUUUAAAGGGAGCGUAGGCGGUCUUAUAAGUCAGUGGUGAAAUCUUGUCGCUUAACGACAAACGUGCCAUUGAUACUGUAGGACUUGAGUACAGACGCCGUUGGCGGAAUGUGUCAUGUAGCGGUGAAAUGCAUAGAUAUGACACAGAACACCGAUUGCGAAGGCAGCUGACGAAACUGUAACUGACGCUGAGGCUCGAAAGCGUGGGGAUCAAACAGGAUUAGAUACCCUGGUAGUCCACGCCCUAAACUAUGAUUACUCGCUGUCGGCGAUAUACAGCCGGUAGCUAAGCGAAAGCGUUAAGUAAUCCACCUGGGGAGUACGCCCGCAAGGGUG
rnacentral:rRNA from 1 species